CCUACGGGAGGCAGCAGUAGGGAAUAUUGCUCAAUGGGGGAAACCCUGAAGCAGCAACGCCGCGUGGAGGAUGAAGGUUUUCGGAUUGUAAACUCCUUUUGUUAGAGAAGAUAAUGACGGUAUCUAACGAAUAAGCACCGGCUAACUCCGUGCCAGCAGCCGCGGUAAUACGGAGGGUGCAAGCGUUACUCGGAAUCACUGGGCGUAAAGAGCGCGUAGGCGGGAUAGCAAGUCAGAUGUGAAAUCCUAGGGCUUAACCAUAGAACUGCAUUUGAAACUGUUAUUCUAGAGUAUGGGAGAGGUAGGUGGAAUUCCUGGUGUAGGGGUAAAAUCCGUAGAGAUCAAGAGGAAUACUCAUGGCGAAGGCGACCUGCUAGAACAUAACUGACGCUGAUGCGCGAAAGCGUGGGGAGCAAACAGGAUUAGAUACCCGUGUAGUC
rnacentral:rRNA from 1 species